rnacentral:rRNA from 1 species
UACAGAGGGGGCAAGCGUUGUUCGGAAUUACUGGGCGUAAAGGGCGCGUAGGCGGCCUGCUAAGUCGAACGUGAAAUCCCCAGGCUCAACCUGGGAACUGCGUCCGAUACUGACAGGCUUGAAUCCGGGAGAGGGAUGUGGAAUUCCAGGUGUAGCGGUGAAAUGCGUAGAUAUCUGGAGGAACACCGGUGGCGAAGGCGGCAUCCUGGACCGGUAUUGACGCUGAGGCGCGAAAGCUAGGGUAGCAAACGGG